rnacentral:rRNA from 1 species
CCUACGGGGGGCAGCAGUGAGGAAUAUUGGUCAAUGGGCGGAAGCCUGAACCAGCCAAGUCGCGUGAGGGAUUAAGGCCCUGCGGGUCGUAAACCUCUUUUGCCGGGGAGCAGUGGUCCGGACGCGUCCGGACCGGGAGAGUACCCGGAGAAAAAGCAUCGGCUAACUCCGUGCCAGCAGCCGCGGUAAUACGGAGGAUGCGAGCGUUAUCCGGAUUUAUUGGGUUUAAAGGGUGCGUAGGCGGGCAUUAAAGCCGGCGGUAAAAAGGCGGGGCUCACACCCGGCGUGCCGUGGGAACGGGUGGCUGUGAGUGGGCGAGAAGUAGGGGGAAGGAGUGGGGGAGCGGUGAAAUGAAUAGAUA